AGGGAGCGAGCGUUGUCCGGAUUUACUGGGUGUAAAGGGAGCGUAGGCGGGAUGGUAAGUCAGGUGUGAAAUAUAUGGGCUCAACCCAUAGACUGCACUUGAAACUGCUGUUCUUGAGUGAAGUAGAGGUAAGCGGAAUUCCUAGUGUAGCGGUGAAAUGCGUGGAUAUUAGGAGGAACAUCGGUGGCGAAGGCGGCUUACUGGGCUUUUACUGACGCUGAGGCUCGAAAGCGUGGGGAGCAA
rnacentral:rRNA from 1 species